GAGCUGAAGAAGAGAAAUACUUCAAUGAAUAAGCUGACGUAGAAAAAAUAUUCGAAAAGCAACAGCAACUACAACACAUUCAACACUUCUUCAACAAACAUCCUUCAUUCUUGAUGAGGCUUCUGAAGAAAAUCCCAACUCGUUGUCGACUACAGCAUGAAUACUUGUUGCCUAUAUGAAGUAACAACAUAAUCUUAAACUGGACAUGCAUUCAUAGAUUUAUUAGGAAAUUUCAGUGGAGUGAUAAAUAAGGACCAUGUAAAAUUUCUUGUUUUGAGGAGUCUGAAAUGAUUCAUAAAUUCACUUACAA